GAUGAACGCUGGCGGCGUGCCUAAUACAUGCAAGUCGAGCGAACAGACGAGGAGCUUGCUUCUCUGACGUUAGCGGCGGACGGGUGAGUAACACGUGGAUAACCUACCUAUAAGACUGGGAUAACUUCGGGAAACCGGAGCUAAUACCGGAUAAUAUAUUGAACCGCAUGGUUCAAUAGUGAAAGACGGUCUUGCUGUCACUUAUAGAUGGAUCCGCGCUGCAUUAGCUAGUUGGUAAGGUAACGGCUUACCAAGGCAACGAUGCGUAGCCGACCUGAGAGGGUGAUAGGCGACACGAGAGCGGAGACGCGGUCCAGACGCCUGCGGGAGGGACCAGAAGGGAAUCUUCCGCAGUGGGGGAGAACCUGACGGAGCAACGCGGCGCGAGAGGUAAAGGUGUUCCGAGCGUGAAAAUCUGUUUUUAGGGGAAAACAUAUGUGUAAGUAGACGUACACAUCUUGACGGUAACUGAUCAGAAAGCCCCGGCUAACUACGUG
rnacentral:rRNA from 1 species